GGAGAUUCAAAAUAAAGAAAUAAAUAAGAUACACUGGAAACAGAAUCCAGAAGAAAGGCGGUCUCUCUUGCACGAGAAGUCUGCAUUUGGAAAACACAGGAGAUGGGGAUCAAAGCCGCUCCCUCUCCAGCCACCUGCCCAGAAACUGCCCGAGCGCCGGCCCAGCACCGUCGGGGCAAGCGGGCACGUGUCUCUCCUCUAAACCAACGGGCGCUCCGAGGGACCGGGUUACGGCGGCGGGCUCCCCGCGCGUCUCACCAGGCGCUGGGGCGGCGGGGAGCCAAGGGAGAGCCCUCCGCCACCUCCGCCCAGCCCAGCCCUAGAGCCCGCCGCCCCGCCGCGAAGGAUGCCCGGGUCUCCUGAGCCGCCGCGUCCUCAGCACGGCCGAGCGAGAGAUAGGACAGAAGAUGGACCUAGAUUCAACUCUCCUGAAAAGCUCGUGACCUUAGGCAAGUUACUUAAAUCUCCGAGCCUUUCUUCACCUCUAAAACGACGAUAAUAAUAGCGUCCACUUCCUGUGCUUGCUGAAGAGGACAAAAUGAAUGCGGCGCAGGAGUCCGUGCAUGUCUGUUGCAGUAAUCACAUUUCAAGUGCUCUGCAUCGAUGUGCAGCUCGUAGCUGCCAUACUGGACAGCAUAUAAAACAUCCCCUUCAUCACAGGAAGUUCUACUGGACAGCGGUGGCUAGAGGCCAGGAUUUUGGUAAGGAGAGUUAUCCUGGUGACCGGUGAUCUGAAAUUCUCAAGCCCAUGCUCUUCCAGCCUAGUGGAGCAAGAUCACAUUAUUGUUGGGAAACUUCUAUGAAGCUAAAAGGUUGUUUUGCCCCUUAUGAAGAGAGAUGUAUUACUGUUUAUCUAACCAUGAUCCAAGGGGUGAUAUUCCCUAACAGAUGAGAGUAGGAAUGGCAGAAGAGAACAAUCUAAAAAAGGUGGAUCCUACAUAUGAAAGAUUGGGAAAAUCUAGAAUGACUCUGCAACCAAAUUGCUUCGUAUUUGUAUUCAGCAAGGUGUUCAACAACCAACUCCAAACAUAGGCACCUGAAGACACUGGCUGACUUAGAAAGAAGGCAACUCAUCAUCUGUUGUGUUGGUAUCAGUGAAAAAGGACACGGGCUUUGUAUGACUGGAAAGUGACAGGUGACUCCAGACAAAGAAUCGGAGCUGAAUGGAGAAAGCGAGUAUGAACUGGCACAGCUGGAGCACUGCAGAUAGGAGGAAAGAAUGCACGGUUGCAGAAGAGCACUUUAUUAACAUCUUCAACCUGCUAACCACUCUCUAGUCUAGUGAUUCUCUCGCUCGUAAUCAGAUACAUGUUUGUUUCAGCAGACACACAGCAAGAUCCUCAGCAAAUCAGAGACCAAAACAUCACUUUUUUUUUUAAAACCCAACAAACUUAUAGUGAGGAAUUUUAAGAAGAAGUAGAAGAAUCCAAUUACUGAAUGUUCAUGCCCUGAAAAUUGAUUCCAAGAGAAUGAAAUAAGCUGCACUGUUCAUUUCACUGGAAGUUUAAAAAUUCUUUUCAUUCCUCUUUUAAUAGAUUACACAUUCUAACAAUGUUAGCUGUUAAGUUCUGUUUUUUCAGUUGACUUCUAUAAUAAAAUUGGAGUUGGUCAACAGAAAUGUUGCUACUAAUCUAGGAUGCAGUAAAGUUACACACAACACUGAAACAAACCAUUUAAAAUCAUAUGCUUAAAAGAAAACUGAUAUCCUGUAACGAUGUGGCUUCCUAAAAAUAAAAAUGCUUAAUGGGAAAAUAGGGUGUACGAGAAUAACAAAAAACCUAGAGUUAUAGCUAUCACAGUAGGAGUAACAAAAUUAAAACUGAAGCCAUUUGUUUAAAUUAGUGAUUCCCAAAGUGUAUUCCACACACUGAUGUUCACUGCUGACCAAAAUACAGGCACACCUCGUUUUCCUGUGCUGCCCUUUAUUACACUUUGCAGAUAUUGCAUUUUUUACAAAUUGAAGGUUUGCAGCAAUCCUGCAUCCGCAAGUCUAUCGGUGCCAU